GACGAACGCUGGCGGCGUGCUUAACACAUGCAAGUCGAACGAUGAAGCUAGAGCUUGCUCUGGUGGAUUAGUGGCGAACGGGUGAGUAACACGUGAGUAACCUGCCCCGAACUCUGGGAUAACUGCUGGAAACGGUAGCUAAUACCGGAUAUGACCAAUGAAGGCAUCUUCUGUUGGUGGAAAGAAUUUCGGUUCGGGAUGGACUCGCGGCCUAUCAGCUUGUUGGUGAGGUAACGGCUCACCAAGGCGACGAGGGGUAGCCGGCCUGAGAGGGUGAUCGGCCACACGGGGACUGAGAGACGGCCGAGACUCCUACGGGAGGCAGCAGUGGGGAAUUUUGGACAAUGGGGGAAACCCUGAUCCAGCCAUGCCGCGUGCGGGAAGAAGGCCUUCGGGUUGUAAACCGCUUUUGUCAGGGAAGAAACGGCCUGACCUAAUACGUUGGGCUAAUGACGGUACCUGAAGAAUAAGCACCGGCUAAC
rnacentral:rRNA from 1 species